rnacentral:rRNA from 1 species
GACGAACGCUGGCGGCGUGCUUAACACAUGCAAGUCGAACGAAGAUGCCGGAGUGCUUGCACUUUGGCAGACUGAGUGGCGGACGGGUGAGUAACGCGUGGGUAACCUGCCUUAUACAGGGGGAUAACAGUUGGAAACGACUGCUAAUACCGCAUAAGCGCACGGUAUCGCAUGAUACAGUGUGAAAAACUCCGGUGGUAUAAGAUGGACCCGCGUCUGAUUAGCUGGUUGGUGAGGUAACGGCCCACCAAGGCGACGAUCAGUAGCCGACCUGAGAGGGUGACCGGCCACAUUGGGACUGAGACGCGGCCCAAACUCCUACGGGAGGCAGCAGUGGGGAAUAUUGCACAAUGGGGGAAACCCUGAUGCAGCGACGCCGCGUGAGCGAAGAAGUAUUUCGGUAUGUAAAGCUCUAUCAGCAGGGAGAAAAAAUGACGGUACCUGACUAGAAGCCCCGGCUAACUACGUG